rnacentral:rRNA from 1 species
GUGGAUUAGAUACCCUGGUAGUCCACGCCCUAAACGAUGUCUACUAGUUGUCGGGUCUUAAUUGACUUGGUAACGCAGCUAACGCGUGAAGUAGACCGCCUGGGGAGUACGGUCGCAAGAUUAAAACUCAAAGGAAUUGACGGGGACCCGCACAAGCGGUGGAUGAUGUGGAUUAAUUCGAUGCAACGCGAAAAACCUUACCUACCCUUGACAUGGCAGGAACCUCCGAGAGAUUGGAGGGUGCUCGAAAGAGAACCUGCACACAGGUGCUGCAUGGCUGUCGUCAACU